GAGACAAUGAGGAUGAAAAAGAAAGGAAAAUAACGUUUCUAACAUAGGUCAAAAUAAGUGACAACAAUAAUGCCUUUAUAGAGAGGAUACAGUUCUCUGUGUGUGAGACACUCUUGUUCUCUCUAUAAUAGUUGAACCAUAACUGACACACAUGAAGUUGCAAUGUCCAUCCACUUCUGAGAGAGAUUGAGUAGAGGCAGGAUUGAAGUCCAGUGAAUGAAGAUCUCAGAAAACAGAGCUGGUGAAACAAUGGGAAGAAUAAAUGUCAGCUAUUGGACAUAUGACCACCACACACACAGAAAGCCACAGAUCCAUCAUGAUCCCAAGAGUUUUGUUUCUAAGAAAUCCUUUUCUUCGCUUCCUCACAAAGGAGAUCUUCU